ACACGACUACAUUAGAUACCCCUGUAGUCCCAGCCCUAAACGAUGCGCGUUAGGUGUAUCGGUGACCACGAGUCACCGAGGUGCCGAAGGGAAACCGUGAAACGUGCCGCCUGGGAAGUACGGUCGCAAGGCUGAAACUUAAAGGAAUUGGCGGGGGAGCACAACAACGGGUGGAGCUUGCGGUUUAAUUGGAUUCAACGCCGGAAAUCUUACCGGGACCGACAGCAACAUGAAGGCCGAGCUGAAGACUUUGCCGGAUUAGCUG
rnacentral:rRNA from 1 species